rnacentral:rRNA from 1 species
UUUCGAAUCAUUCACAAUGGGCGAAAGCCUGAUGAUGCAACGCCGCGUGGGGGAUGAAGGUCUUCGGAUUGUAAACCCCUGUCACCAAGGAGCAAAAAGCGGACUCAUACUCCGCGUUGAGUUAACUUGGAGAGGAAGUAGUGGCAAACUCUGUGCCAGCAGCCGCGGUAAUACAGAGACUACGAGCGUUACUCGGAUUCACUGGGCGUAAAGGGUGCGUAGGUGGCUAAAUGUGUUGGGUGUGAAAUCUCGGGGCUUAACUCCGAAACUGCGCCCAAAACUGUUUAGCUUGAGUCCUGGAGAGGUAAGCGGAAUUCCUAGUGUAGCAGUGAAAUGCGUAGAUAUUAGGAGGAACACCAAAGGCGAAGGCAGCUUACUGGACAGGCACUGACACUGAGGC